rnacentral:misc_RNA from 1 species
UUAACUUAUUUGCUUGUUUUCUCAGAGAGGCCACAAAGAUACAGUAUAGUUUUGGCGCUCCGGCGGGGACCCCGAGGGGACGCCCGCCGAGGCAGCACGUAAGGUUCACAAUGGUUUGGGAGUCUUUUCAGAACUCUGUAAUGAUCCCUCCGCUGGUUCACCAACGGAGA